rnacentral:rRNA from 1 species
CCUACGGGAGGCAGCAGUGGGGAAUAUUGCACAAUGGGCGAAAGCCUGACGCAGCGACGCCGCGUGAGGGAAGAAGGCCUUCGGGUUGUAAACCUCUUUCAGGAGGGACGAAGCCACUCGGGUUAAUAGCCCAGAGGGUGACGGUACUUCCAGAAGAAGCCCCGGCUAACUACGUGCCAGCAGCCGCGGUAAU